GACGAACGCUGGCGGCGUGCUUAACACAUGCAAGUCGAACGGAAAGGCCCUGCUUUUGUGGGGUGCUCGAGUGGCGAACGGGUGAGUAACACGUCAGUAACCUGCCCUUGACUUUGGGAUAACUUCAGGAAACUGGGGCUAAUACCGGAUAGGAGCUCCUGCUGCAUGGUGGGGGUUGGAAAGUUUCGGCGGUUGGGGAUGGACUCGCGGCUUAUCAGCUUGUUGGUGGGGUAGUGGCUUACCAAGGCUUUGACGGGUAGCCGGCCUGAGAGGGUGACCGGCCACAUUGGGACUGAGAUACGGACCAGACUCCUACGGGAGGCAGCAGUGGGGAAUAUUGCACAAUGGGCGGAAGCCUGAUGCAGCAACGCCGCGUGCGGGAUGACGGCCUUCGGGUUGUAAACCGCUUUCGCCUGUGACGAAGCGUGAGUGACGGUAAUGGGUAAAGAAGCACCGGCUAACUACGUG
rnacentral:rRNA from 1 species